GCUGGGUGUGGUGGUGCGCACCUGUGGUCCCAGCUACUCAGGAGGCUGAGGUGGGAGGAUCACUUGAGCCUGGGAGACAAAGACUGCAGUGAGCCGAGAUGGCGCCACUGCACUCCAGCCUGGGUGACAGAGUGAGACCCUGUCUCUA
rnacentral:SRP_RNA from 1 species